GGAUGUAUGGCGGAGUGGUUAACACCUUUGGAUAAUACCCUACAGAUAGCUCUUCCUAUUAACCAAAUCUCGUAGGUUCGAAUCCUGCUACGGCCA